UUACUGCUGAAAAGUAGAGGAAAGUCCAUGCUCGCAUUUCCUGUGAUGGAGAUAGUGUUUGUGUGUAUUGAAAAAAUAAAAUACAGUAUUAGUAAUAAUAACGGCGAUUUUCAAAUCUUUAUUCUUAAAGAUUUGAAAAUUAUAAAGUGCAACAGCGACGAAUUUAUGAAGUGAUUUAUAAAGUGAAACGGGUAAACCCCACAAGCGAGAAACCUAAAAUUUGGUAAGGGAAUCUUAAAACAAUAAUAAAGAAUUGUUUUGGAAUAUAUCUAUUUAUAUAGAUAUAUAGAUAAAUUAUUAACACUAUUUAUAGUACAAAACAUGGCUUAUAG
rnacentral:RNase_P_RNA from 1 species